UCUUUUCCUUUUUUUCCAUCAUCCUCGGUAAUACGUAGGCGGCAAGCGUUGUCCGGAAUUAUUGGGCGUAAAGGGAGCGCAGGCGGGAAACUAAGCGGAUCUUAAAAGUGCGGGGCUCAACCCCGUGAUGGGGUCCGAACUGGUUUUCUUGAGUGCAGGAGAGGAAAGCGGAAUUCCCAGUGUAGCGGUGAAAUGCGUAGAUAUUGGGAAGAACACCAGUGGCGAAGGCGGCUUUCUGGACUGUAACUGACGCUGAGGCUCGAAAGCUAGGGUAGCGAACGGG
rnacentral:rRNA from 1 species